rnacentral:rRNA from 1 species
AGAGUUUGAUCCUGGCUCAGAUUGAACGCUGGCGGCAUGGCUAAAACAUGCAAGUCGAACGCGAAAGUGGGGCUUGCUCCACGAGUAGAGUGGCGAAAGGGCGAGUAAUGCGUUUCUAACAUACCCCAGGGUCGGGGAUAGCUCAUCGAAAGGUGAAUUAAUACCCGAUGAUCCCAUCCGUCGUAUGAUGUGAUGGGCAAAGGCUUGCUGCCCUGGGAUUGGGGAACGUGCUAUCAGGUUGUUGGUGAGGUAAUGGCUCACCAAGCCUAAGACGGCUAGCGGGUGUGAGAGCACGACCCGCCGCAUCGGGACUGAGACACUGCCCGGACUCCUACGGGAGGCUGCAGUAACGAAUAUUCCGCAAUGCGCGAAAGCGUGACGGAGCAAUGCCGCGUGCAGGAUGAAGCCCCUCGGGGUGUAAACUGCUGUCAGGGUUUAGAAACACAAUGAUCAGACCCAAAGGAAGAGCCGGCUAACUCUGUGCCAGCAGCCGCGGUAAUACAGAGGGCUCAAGCGUUAAUCGGUAUCACUGGGCUUAAAGGGUGCGUAGGCGGACCUGUAAGUGUUUUGUGAAAGCCCACGGCUCAACCGUGGAAUUGCUUGGCAAACUGCAGGUCUUGAGGUCGGUAGGGGCUGCCGGAACUCUAGGUGUAGCGGUGAAAUGCGUAGAUAUCUAGAGGAACGCCAAAGGUGAAGACAGGCAGCUGGGCCGAUUCUGACGCUGAGGCACGAAAGCGUGGGUAGCGAACGGGAUUAGAUACCCCGGUAGUCCACGCCCUAAACGAUGUGUACUAGAUCGUGGAGGUUUUGACGCCAUCACGGUCGAAGCAAAAGUAUUAAGUACACCGCCUGGGGAGUACGGUCGCAAGAUUAAAACUCAAAGGAAUUGACGGGGGCUCACACAAGCGGUGGAGCAUGUGGCUUAAUUCGAAGCAACGCGAAGAACCUUAUCCUGGGUUUGACAUGUAUGGAUUAACUCCUAGAAACAGGAGCAACACCCUCGGGUGGAACAUACACAGGUGCUGCAUGGCUGUCGUCAGCUCGUGCUGUGAAGUGUCGGGUUAAGUCCCUUAACGAGCGAAACCCCUAUCGUUAGUUGCCAGCGAGUCAUGUCGGGGACUCUAACGAGACUGCCGGUGUUAAACCGGAGGAAGGUGGGGACGACGUCAAGUCCUCAUGGCCUUUAUGCCCAGGGCUGCACACGUGCUACAAUGGCGUGGACAAAGCGACGCGAUACCGCAAGGUGGAGCAAAUCGCAAAAAUCACGCCCCAGUUCGGAUUGUGGUCUGCAAUUCGACCACAUGAAGUUGGAAUCGCUAGUAAUCGCGUAUCAGCUACGACGCGGUGAAUAAGUUCCUGAGCCUUGUACACACCGCCCGUCAAGUCAUGGAAGCUGGUAGUACCCGAAGCCGUCCCGAUUCAGGGAUGUCGACGGUAAGAUCGGUGACUGGGACUAAGUCGUAACAAGGUA